CCCUGGUUAGCUCAGUUGGUAGAGCGCCCCACCUGUAAUGGAGAGGUCCCGGGUUCGAUACCCGGACCAGGCG
rfam:Ixodes scapularis strain Wikel colony gcontig_1108378776278, whole genome shotgun sequence.